GGGCGCGUCCCGGCUUCGACGGGGAUUCGCGAAAGCAAGGCUGCGUGUCGAGGUGGCCGGUGGCCUCGUAAAACCCGGCGAAACAAAAACUGCCAAGCCUAACAAGCUUGCUCUCGCUGCGUAAGCCAGCGACGUUCGCCAGAAACCCAGCCGAUGGUUCGCUGGAGUGAACGACCUGAAGUCGGCUAGCCGAAGCAAGGCAUCGUAGCGUAGGCGAAACCUCACGAAGCUUGGCUCGAGCCCCCUGUCGGUGGGGAAAGCUCGAGCGACACUCAAACACCGACUACACACGUAGAUGCCUGCCGUAGGGAUCUUCGGACGAGGGUUCGACUCCCUCCGCGUCCACCA
rnacentral:tmRNA from 1 species